rnacentral:lncRNA from 1 species
AUGUUCUCUUUUUGCCCUUUCGUGAUGACCUGCCUAAGACUUGCAUACAGUUUGGAAUGGAAUGCCUGGGCUCAAAGGCUACAGCCCACAGGUCAGCAUCUGACAUUUUCAUGCACACCGUGUACAGCUCCCUGUGUGGUGGAAUGUGUCAUGUCAGAACAUGAAGAUCUGUGACAAGGCCUGGCAAUGGCUUUGACAGAGAAACUUCUCAGAAAAACUUGCCUGUCUUUUUCUAAUGAGGAAAUCCCAAAAAGAGAAGCUGAAACUUUCCUGUUGUAGAAGGGUAAUAAGUAAGCUGUGGAGAAAAUUGGACAAAUGCAGAAAUCUAUAUAAAGCAAGUGUGACUUUUUCCCGGGAGAAGAUCUUGCCAGAAAACAUGGUGGUCGUAUCAUAUCUGAUUGACUGGUGCAAAACAUGGACUAGUGAGGAUGCAGCCAGAACAUGCCAUUUAUGGACCAGGAAACCAGUCGUCACUAGAAAUUGAAUCUGCCACACCUUGAUCUUGGACUUCCCAGCCUCCAGAACUGUGAGAAACAAAAUUCUGUUGUUUAUUAGCUAUUCAGUUUAUUUUUGUUUUGCUGUAACAGCAGCCCAAAUUUACUAAAAUAUCAUUUUGUUUUAUUUUUCCCUCUCUUAUGGUUGUUUUAAAAUCGUUUUCAAAUCUAACAAGUAUACUGUUUGCUGAAAUGAUUAUUUUGCCUUCCUUCUUAUCAGUGUAGUUCAACAUUUUCUUUUAUGAAAAUAAAAAGCACUCAUAAUUUUUGCAUAGUAGAG